rnacentral:rRNA from 1 species
UGGGGAAUUGUUCGCAAUGGGCGCAAGCCUGACGACGCAACGCCGCGUGGAGGAUGAAGAUCUUCGGGUCGUAAACUCCUGUCGAGCGGGACGAAUGCUUUGCGGCUGAAUAAUCCGCAGAGGUGACGGUACCGCUAAAGGAAGCCCCGGCUAACUCCGUGCCAGCAGCCGCGGUAAUACGGGGGGGGCAAGCGUUGUUCGGAAUUACUGGGCGUAAAGGGCUCGUAGGUGGCCAACUAAGUCAGACGUGAAAUCCCCAGGCUCAACCUGGGAACUGCGUCUGAUACUGGAUGGCUUGAAUUCGGGAGAGGGAUGCAGAAUUCCAGGUGUAGCGGUGAAAUGCGUAGAUAUCUGGAGGAAUACCGGUGGCGAAGGCGGCAUCCUGGACCGAUAUUGACACUCAGUGAGCGAAAGCCAGGGGAGCAAACGG